UACAGAGGGGGCAAGCGUUAUUCGGAAUUAUUGGGCGUAAAGGGCGCGUAGGCGGGCGGCCGCGUCCGGGGUGAAAUCCCACGGCUCAACCGUGGAACGGCCUCGGAUACGGGCGGCCUCGAGGGGGGUAGGGGCAUCUGGAACUGUGAGUGGAGCGGUGAAAUGCGUUGAUAUUCACAGGAACUCCGGUGGCGAAGGCGAGGUGCUGGACCCCAUCUGACGCUGAGGCGCGAAAGCCAGGGGAGCGAACGGG
rnacentral:rRNA from 1 species